UUGUAAAAGUCAUAUAGUGCGUUGAUAUGGAGCGCGUGUUUCUACCCGGUCACCGUAAAUGACCGGACUAUGGCGAUAGGUU
rnacentral:ncRNA from 1 species